rnacentral:lncRNA from 1 species
CCUGGCGAGACCCCGGGGCUCCGCGCGGAAGCGGUGCGCGCGGGGAGAGGAGGACAUGUCAGGCACGGGCUAUUCCCGGCCACUAAAGCCACAGAGGACUUGUCCAGGUGAGCCAACAGAAGAUAAUUCACUUUUCUGCACUGAAUUCAAAAUCCUGGAAAAUGUUUACAAACUCAACAAUGUCACCUACCAUCAUGAACGCAAGCAAACACAGUUCAAAGUGGUAAGUUUUCUGAAAAAGUUUAUGUAAUUAAGCCUAUUUCCAUAUUUUAUAUAUUUCUCCCCAUUUUUUUCUAAAUUCAGCCCUCUUUAUUCACCAUAAAACCCAUGUCCCAAAAGAAGCAGUGGAGAAGAGCAUCACUGUGUGCAUUAAGAAAAGUUAAACCACAAAUGAAAACUCAAUCACCAAUAUGAGAGACUGACUGCCCUUUCCAGUAAUUCAUGAAUAGUCAAUUUGUAUUUGGAAUCCUUUGAGAAUAAGACACUCCAGUUCCCUUGACACUGGCAAUAGGGUCAUGGUAUAUGCUUCAAAUUGCCUACCAA